GUGGGCUAGUGACAGAAUGAAGAAGAUCAGUUUAAAAUGUGCUUUACAACCAGAGGUUGCAUUAUUUUGACAGACAAGGGCUGUAAGAAAAUUGUCAAAAUCAAUAAUAAUAUGAGCCAACAGCCAAACAAUAACAACUAAACUCAAUCAACUAUCUUAAUCUGCCUGAACUCCAAUCUUGUGGUCUAUAAAGUGGGAGUUUAUCUGUGUGUAAUUCAACCAUCAUGUUAGACUGAAGGAAUUGCAGUUAUCAUUAGAUUUCCCGACAGCACUGGACACUCAGUGUGACUUGAGACAAAGGAUAAACAAAGACAUUGAGUAUGUUUACAUGCACAUAAUAAGAGGACAAUUAUCUUAUUAUGAUAUUAUAAAAAUCAGCUUAUUACAUUAACAUGUUUCAAGCGUUUUAAUUUACUUUUAUUUGUGAAGUUUAUCUAUCACAGGUGGAGACAUACGCACAUACGAAACGGCAAAAAAGACGUUAAAAUCUGGUUUAAGAGCAAAAAAACUACCUGUGCCAAUCAGUUUUUGCCAUUUAUGGGCUUUACCCUAUAAAAGAAAACCAUUUUAUGCAUUUAAAUGACCUUACACGUUAUCAGUUUAUUAAGCGUUUAGACUAUGUAGACACACUCACUGUGCACUAAAAUUAAAAAAAAAUUGGUUAACACGACCACUCGUGGUGGCUUCACUCAGAGGUUGGAGAAGACAACCGGUGGACUAAACAUCAAGCCUCUGCACGAUUCAGGUAAGUGGAAUAAAAUACAUUGUAAAUAAACAUUAUUAAAACAGAUUGUGAAGUCAUUCAUUCAAAACUUGCUAUGACCUAAGCCUAAAUGACUUAAUUUCUUUUUAGAAUUAAGACAACCUUAGCAGGAGAGCCCCAGCAGUAACUUUCUCUCAAGCAGAUGAGCAAUAAGUUGCUUUGUAUGAACACCACCCUAACAAUCAAGUAGCCUGUUAACAGUAGACCAAAGGUAUGAUGAUCAAUUAUAAAUGCAAUAUGGUUGAAAGCUUGACAAAAAUGUAGCUUGAAGGAGAAGGGACAGCUGAGUAACAAAGUCCUGGUACGCAGACGAUGAUACUAUUACACUGACAAGAGUGUAAUGAUGAUGGAGACACAAG